GACGAACGCUGGCGGCGUGCUUAACACAUGCAAGUCGAACGGAAAGGCCUGCUUUCCCUUGUGGAUUGCGGGUACUCGAGUGGCGAACGGGUGAGUAACACGUGAGUGAUCUGCCCCCAACUUGGGUAUAAGCCUGGGAAACUGGGUCUAAUUCCCGAUAGGACUGCAGGGUGGUGCCUGUGGUGGAAAACGAUUUUCUAGUGGUUGGGGAUGAGCUCGCGGCCUAUCAGCUUGUUGGUGGGGUAAUGGCCUACCAAGGCGGCGACGGGUAGCCGGCCUGAGAGGGUGGACGGCCACAUUGGGACUGAGAUACGGCCCGGACUCCUACGGGAGGCAGCAGUGGGGAAGAUUGCACAAUGGGCGGAAGCCUGAUGCAGCGACGCCGCGUGGGGGAUGACGGCCUUCGGGUUGUAAACUCCUUUCGACCGCGAGGAAGCCACCUGGUUGGAAGGGUGGUGACGGUAGUGGUAGAAGAAGCACCGGCUAACUACGUG
rnacentral:rRNA from 1 species